UGUGGCCUACGGGACGCAGCAGUGGGGAAUAUUGGGCAAUGGGCGCAAGCCUGACCCAGCAACGCCGCGUGCGGGAUGAAGGCUUUCGGGUUGUAAACCGCUUUCAGCAGGGAAGAUAAUGACGGUACCUGCAGAAGAAGCCCCGGCUAACUACGUGCCAGCAGCCGCGGUAAUACGUAGGGGGCAAGCGUUAUCCGGAUUCAUUGGGCGUAAAGCGCGCGCAGGCGGGCCGCUAAGCGGGACCUCUAAUCUUGGGG
rnacentral:rRNA from 1 species